GUGCCAGAAGACUCGGUAAUACGAAGGGUGCAAGCGUUACUCGGAAUUACUGGGCGUAAAGCGUGCGUAGGCGGUUUGUUAAGUCAGAUGUGAAAGCCCCGGGCUCAACCUGGGAAUGGCAUUUGAUACUGGCGAGCUAGAGUACGGUAGAGGGUGGUGGAAUUCCCGGUGUAGCGGUGAAAUGCGUAGAGAUCGGGAGGAACAUCUGUGGCGAAGGCGGCCACCUGGACCAGUACUGACGCUGAGGCACGAAAGCGUGGGGAGCAAACAGGAUUAGAUACCCUGGUAGUCCACGCCCUAAACGAUGCGAACUGGACGUUGGGCUCAAUUGAGAGUUCAGUGUCGAAGCUAACGCGUUAAGUUCGCCGCCUGGGGAGUACGGUCGCAAGACUGAAACUCAAAUGAAUUGGCGG
rnacentral:rRNA from 1 species